rnacentral:rRNA from 1 species
UUUGCAUCCAAAGUAGAGAUGGCGACCGGCGCACGGGUGAGUAACACGUAUCCAACCUGCCGAUAACUCGGGGAUAGCCUUUCGAAAGAAAGAUUAAUAUCCGAUAGUAUAUGAAUAUCGCAUGAUAUUAUUAUUAAAGAAUUUCGGUUAUCGAUGGGGAUGCGUUCCAUUAGUUUGUUGGCGGGGUAACGGCCCACCAAGACUACGAUGGAUAGGGGUUCUGAGAGGAAGGUCCCCCACAUUGGAACUGAGACACGGUCCAAACUCCUACGGGAGGCAGCAGUGAGGAAUAUUGGUCAAUGGACGAGAGUCUGAACCAGCCAAGUAGCGUGAAGGAUGACUGCUCUAUGGGUCGUAAACUUCUUUUAUAUGGGAAUAAAGUAUUCCACGUGUGGAAUUUUGUAUGUACCAUAUGAAUAAGGAUCGGCUAACUCCGUGCCAGCAGCCGCGGUAAUACGGAGGAUCCGAGCGUUAUCCGGAUUUAUUGGGUUUAAAGGGAGCGUAGGUGGAUUGUUAAGUCAGUUGUGAAAGUUUGCGGCUCAACCGUAAAAUUGCAGUUGAAACUGGCAGUCUUGAGUACAGUAGAGGUGGGCGGAAU